rnacentral:pre_miRNA from 1 species
UCUUAUGGAUGAGCAAACAAGUAGUUUUUUCAGAUGGAAUCUACUCCUGGUGAAGAUGCUAUGGA